rnacentral:rRNA from 1 species
UACAGAGACUGCAAGCGUUAUUCGGAUUCACUGGGCGUAAAGGGGGCGCAGGCGGCCGUGUGUGUGAGGCGUGAAAGCCCGGGGCUCAACCCCGGAAUUGCACCUCAAACUACAUGGCUAGAGCAUUGGAGAGGGUAGCGGAAUUCACGGUGUAGCAGUGAAAUGCGUAGAUAUCAGGAGGAACACCGGUGGCGAAAGCGGCGCGCUGGAUCUCUUCUGACGCUGAGGCGCGAAAGCCAGGGGAGCGAACGGG